UAAAAAAAUUGACGGCAGAUCCACGAGGUGAAUGAUGAUGAGAUUGGGCGAAGCUCCUGGAAGUAAUCAUCGGUAAAUCCAUGAAAGUUCUUCCGUUAAUUCGCCCGAUAAAAUUGACGUGAAACGAUUGAUUGAAUGUUUUAUCAAACUUUUAUUGCUGGUUUCCGUUGUCCUUUCAUUAUGACCGCUUUACAAUUCGAGCAAACCUUGUAAUCCUCGGCGGUUGCGGCGGGAAACGCGCGCUGCAACGUGGCGAUGGCAUUAUUGCGAGACUCUUCGUUUCUGAUCGACGAUAUCGUGAUUAGGUUGUUGGAGAACCAGAGUCUAUCGCACACGUUACAGCUAUGCCCAAA
rnacentral:lncRNA from 1 species